rnacentral:rRNA from 1 species
UACGGGGGGGGCAAGCGUUGUUCGGAAUUACUGGGCGUAAAGGGCGCGUAGGCGGCCUUCUAAGUCAGACGUGAAAUCCCUCGGCUUAACCGAGGAACUGCGUCUGAUACUGGAAGGCUUGAAUCCGGGAGAGGGAUGUGGAAUUCCAGGUGUAGCGGUGAAAUUCGUAGAUAUCGGGAGGAACACCAGAGGCGAAGGCGGCCACCUGGACAGACACUGACGCUGAGACGCGAAAGCGUGGGGAGCAAACAGG